UUAACAUGCUAUUUAGGUCAUCUGUUUCUUGAUUGUUUGUCAUCUUUCUGAAAAGAGGAAACACUAACAUGUUAUUUAAGUCCUCUGUUUCUAUGUUAUCUAAAAUUGUUUUCCCCCUUUUUUCCAAGAACACUAACAGUGCUAUUUGGGCUGUUUUUGGAUGUCCAAAAUUUUGAUCUAUUUUAUUUUCAAACAAGUUAUUAUAGUCUCUCUUAAAAAACUGGGGAAAAAAAGAUAUUAAUGGUGGUCUAUAUUCAUUUUAUGUAUUUUUUUUUCUAUGUUUAUUAAUGCUUUGUAGAUUGGUAAUUUUGAUAAGUUUGUUUAAAUAAAGCUACAUGAAUAGGCAUUGCAGUACCAAAUACAUGCUAGUCAUGGAUAUGAACUGCGUUGCUGCAAAAUCUAGUGGCUUGAAUUCCUUGUCCAAUAUUGCUGAUUAUCAAAUGUGGCAGGGCAUUUAUGGAGUCACAAC
rnacentral:misc_RNA from 1 species